rnacentral:pre_miRNA from 1 species
CUCUUUGGUGAUCUAGCUGUAUGAGUGCGAGUGGACGUCAUAAAGCUAAAUUACCGAAGUC